AUUGAACGCUGGCGGCAUGCCUUACACAUGCAAGUCGAACGGCAGCACGGAGAGCUUGCUCUCUGAUGGCGAGUGGCGAACGGGUGAGUAAUGCAUCGGAACGUACCGUGUAAUGGGGGAUACGUAGCGAAAGUUACGCUAAUACCGCAUACGACCUGAGGGUGAAAGCAGGGGAUCGCAAGACCUUGCGUUAUACGAGCGGCCGAUGUCAGAUUAGCUAGUUGGUGAGGUAAAGGCUCACCAAGGCGACGAUCUGUAGCGGGUCUGAGAGGAUGAUCCGCCACACUGGGACUGAGACACGGCCCAGACUCCUACGGGAGGCAGCAGUGGGGAAUUUUGGACAAUGGGGGCAACCCUGAUCCAGCCAUGCCGCGUGAGUGAAGAAGGCCUUCGGGUUGUAAAGCUCUUUCGGCCGGGAAGAAAUCGCACAGGCUAAUACUCUGUGUGGAUGACGGUACCGGCAUAAGAAGCACCGGCUAACUACGUGCCAGCCGCCGCCGUAA
rnacentral:rRNA from 1 species